rfam:Paramesorhizobium deserti strain A-3-E Scaffold1, whole genome shotgun sequence.
GCUUGAAACAGAUGACUGCUAAACCUACAUGGGUUUCAGAAAUUCGUCUCCGCCUUUGACCACGGAUGUACUGGCACUGGUGUCGAGAUGGAUGAGGAAAGGUCGGGUUCGUCCCGGCCUUUUUUAUU